rnacentral:rRNA from 1 species
GAAAAGAAUUUUUCUAAAUAAAUGGUCCUUUCGUACUAAGUUAUUUUUUGUAUUUCUUAAGAUAGAAACCAACCUGGCUUACACCGAUUUGAACUCAAAUCAUGGAAAAUUUUAAAGGUCGAACAGACCUCCUCUUUAAACUUUUGCGCUUAAAAGGUAUUUUAAUUCAACAUCGAGGUCAUAAUCUCACUUGUCAAUUAGAACUUUCUAAGUGAAUUAAGCUGUUAUCCCUAAAGUAACUUAUUCUUUCUUUAAAAAUUUUAGAUAUAAAAACAUAUUGUUUUAUUAAAAGAAGAAAAGACAAUUUUUCCUACCGCCCCAGUAAAAUAUUUACUUAUUUUUCUAAAAAUAUAAAAUAUAAAGUUUUAUAGGGUCUUCUCGUCUUUAAGAGAAAUUUUAGCCUUCUUACUAAAAAGUUAACUUUAUUUUUUUAUUCCUGAAAAUUUUCUUCCAGUUUACUCUUUCAUUCCAGUCCCCAAUUAAAAGACUAAUUAUUAUGCUACCUUUGUACAGUCAGAAAUACUGCAGCCAUUUACAAAAUUGCAUAGGGCAGAGCACAUUUUAUAUUUCUUAACAUAAAAAUAGGUUUUUGAUAAACUUUCCGGAAGAGAAAGACGAGUUCUCGAGAAUAAAUUUUAUUUCAAAGUUCACGUAAAAGAAAUACUACUAAUUUUAUUCAAAAUUUUUAAACAAAGUAAAUUUAAAUUAAUUUUUUAGUAAAAAGUCUUAAAUUUCUACUAUUCUUUUUUCCUUACAACAGAUGAAGGAUAAUUUUACUCCUCUCAAAGAUUCUUUUUUUAAAAAAGUUAAUAUUAAAUAGCUUGUCCUAAAUAAUUUUUCUUUUAUUCAAAGUAAAACUAAAUUUCUUUCCUAAAAAACCAGAUAUCAAAUAACGCGAUUAACUUUUCACUUCUAUAAUUUCUUUAUUUUUCUUUUGAAACAGAUUUUUAAAAACUUAUAGCUCAUUAUUUUUCGGGGAUAUUAAAAUAUUUAAAUAAUUUUAAUAAACCCUGAUACAAAAGGUAGAUUUUCUAAAAUUUUCUUUUCUUUUGUUAAUUAUUUCCUUUACAGUUAUUUUAUAAUUCUUUUUUCUAAAAACAUACUCAUAAGAAUUAUUUUUAAAUAAUUUUUAUUCUUUAAAUACAAA